GGCUUCUAAUCAUUUUUGUUGCUGUCUGCUGUUUAUGGACGGUUGGCAACCUUGUUAUAAAGGGACCUAUGUGUGAAACGAGUUGGUGUUUGCUGGUAGGCUGGUGGCAUCAGAUCCAGCUGAUCCAGCAUGCUUGCUACAUGAUGGUGACAGAUGGCAGGAGCAUUGUGAAAUCCCUGGGGCAUCCGACAGAAGGUAAACUGCUGAUCUUUCAAUGUGAAUGCAAAUCUAUCUUGGGAAUCUGGAUAGAGAGGUAU
rnacentral:lncRNA from 1 species